rnacentral:pre_miRNA from 1 species
AGCGGGGACUUGUAGGUUCUCCGCAGCUCGGCCAGGAAGCCCUGAUAGUUGUUUCGCAAGGGGCUGUCUGGCUGCAUGUGGGGAAUGGCCCACUUCUCCGCCUCCCCUGUCA